rnacentral:rRNA from 1 species
AUUGAACGCUGGCGGCAGGCCUAACACAUGCAAGUCGAACGGUAGCACAGAGAGCUUGCUCUCGGGUGACGAGUGGCGGACGGGUGAGUAAUGUCUGGGAAACUGCCCGAUGGAGGGGGAUAACUACUGGAAACGGUAGCUAAUACCGCAUAACGUCUUCGGACCAAAGUGGGGGCCCUUCGGGCCUCACACCAUCGGAUGUGCCCAGAUGGGAUUAGCUAGUAGGUGGGGUAAUGGCUCACCUAGGCGACGAUCCCUAGCUGGUCUGAGAGGAUGACCAGCCACACUGGAACUGAGACACGGUCCAGACUCCUACGGGAGGCAGCAGUGGGGAAUAUUGCACAAUGGGCGCAAGCCUGAUGCAGCCAUGCCGCGUGUAUGAAGAAGGCCUUCGGGUUGUAAAGUACUUUCAGCGGGGAGGAAGGCGAUGUGGUCAAUAACCAUGUCGAUUGACGUUACCCGCAGAAGAAGCACCGGCUAACUCCGUGCCAGCCGCCGCCGUAA